rnacentral:lncRNA from 1 species
GCUUGUGAUUAGAUCUAUCCCAGACAAGAGCUCUGGAAAAAGCCACAUUGAGAAGUUGAUCUUCCGGAUGGCUGCUCCCAAGAUUGCAGAAGCUACCUUCAUCAUGGCCAGCUAUAUGAACCAUUGCACUACAACUGUGAACCCCCCCACCAACCCACCCGGAGCCUGCCAGCUGUGGGAACUGGAUGGACGACAGUUCUUUUCUUCUGUUUCCUGUGCUACCAAGGGGCCAACGUUGCUGUGAAUAUUUCUCCUACCCGAUUCCCCAACACCACUAGUGCCUCUGGAUUUAGAGAUAUAUAUCCUAGGCAAAAACUGCGAGGCCAGAACUAGUUUAUCUGAACACCUCAGCUGCUGUAAGCUUCUCCUCUCUCACCCCGUAAACUGACAAGCAUGAUGAAAAAAGAAGCACAUCCAAGUUUCUGCCUCUUUUAAAUGUACUUGACUUUGCAAGGCAAGUAGUUUUACAGCCAUUUCUGUUCACACUUUUCACCCCACAACUUGGGGAUCUAGCUGAGACAUUUCUACCUCGAACAAGUCACAUGUACCACAGGUUCCUGAAUAAUUCCUGCAGGGCUGGUGACAGACAUAACAGCUCUGGUUUUAUAAUAUCUUGGGUAUCUCUAAGGCCAAUAAGGAUAACAUUAUCUACCCAGAGAGUUUAGAAGAAAAGUAGGAGUCCAAAGGAAGAGUAAACAAGAAUGGAGCUGUGUUCACACUGAAUUUGGGGUCAAUCUAUUUCCCCCA